GUCCGGCCCUCCACUCCAGCGUUUGUCCUUCUCUCUCACUCUCUCCCGAACUCUAGUCGCUCUCGCUCGCACGCUCUGCUAACACUCUAACACGUGUUUGAUAAGAGAGACAGAGAUAAGAGUGAUGCAAGAAAAAACCAACUCGUCGUAAGAAUUCAAUAAGUUUGUAUGCAUUAUAUUUCUUCGCCAUCUUCUUGAAAUUUGAAUACUUAACCCAACUGUGUUAUUGUUAUUAGCGUAUGAACCAAAAUCUCGCUUGAAGCUUGGCUGUGAUCACCUUACACUUACACAUCAUCCACAUUCUAGAUAGUAUUCAGUAUGAUUCCGAUACAUUUUUCUAGGAUUUUUAAACCGCCAAAAUCAACUUUUUUGCUAUCAGCUAUCAAUGAAAUAAGAUAUUUAUCGAUCCAGCCAAAUUCAAGAGUGAUCCACGCGACUACAUCGACGAAUAUUCCUGCAUUAAAUAAAGACUCUAUCUGUACAAAAAAAUGGCUGUAUACUACCGCUAAAAAAGUCGAACAAGAGUUCACAUGGAUAAUUGAAGAUUUCAAAUUACAAAUGGCCAACAUCUACGAAGAUGAAUUGAAAUCGCCGGUUCUUUCAGAAGUUAAUGAUUCGUACAAGUGGUUUUUAAAACUGAACAUGUCCCGGAGUUAUGGUUCUUUCGAAUUCGAGCACAGCCGUUUACAUCUCAAUUUUGAUAUGGUUCCCUGUGCAUUUAACAUCAGCCCGAUAUCCGGCAGUCUAAGUGUGUCACUUAUGGACUCGAAAAAUCGGAAAUUCAAUUCUUGUUCACACAACUUCUAUAAAACGAGCAGUGAAAAAAGUCAAAAAGAACAAGUCAGAUUGGAACUUAUUAAAUGCGGUGAUUUGAAGGACGAGUUAUUACCAGAAGGCCAGUUGAGAAUUUAUCUCAAGUUUGCCUUCAUUCGCGACACAAUCACUGCUACGAAUCAUUUUCCAUUGGAUGAAUCUAAUCAUACACAUGAUUUUGAAAAGUUAUUCAACGAUGAGGAUAGUAGUGACGUUGUAAUUGCCAUUGAUGGAAAGAAGUACCCAGCUCAUAAAAGUGUCCUGGCAGCUCGUAGCUCAGUAUUUCAUGACAUGUUUAAAAAUGAUACGAUGAAGAGUCAACGGAAUCGUAUUGAAAUUAAAGAUACCGAUGAAAAAAUUUUCCAAGAAGUGUUGCGUUAUAUUUACACCGGAAAAGUUGAGAAUUUGAACGAUAUAGUAUUCGAAUUGAUCCCCGUGGCUGUGAAGUAUGAUCUUGCGCAUUUGAAGAACGCGUGUUUAAACGCACUGAGUGCAUUGCUGUCAGAGAAAACUGCUGUAAAAAUUUUGACUGUGGCUGAAUUGAAUGGAGCAAAGUGUUUGAAAACUCAAGCUAUUAAGUAUAUUCAAGAGAACUUGAUUAAUGUUAUGAAAUCAGAAGACUGGAAUGAUUUAAGCUGUAAUCCAGAUUUGAUGAAAUGUUUACUAGCUUCAGAUAACUCGUACGAUGCAUAUUGAUGAAUUGAGUUGUUUAUUUUAAUUACACUUUAUAGUAUUACUUCAAUUCAUUUUUUGAAGUUUUCAGUUUUCUACCAGAUUGGUAAAUCUAUAUUUUUUUUAAUAUGUAUACCUAAUAAUUAUAAUCAACUACUUACCCAAGUAUUUUGAGUAAUUCAAGUUUUUGCUUAAGUAAAAGAUACUUUCAAGUUGUGAAUGAGUAUAUUAUAUACUCUGUUUUUUAAUAACCUAACCGUUGAGUAUCUGCUUCAAUGAAGUAUAAUUUGUAAGUGACCAAGUUACGUGUUUCCUUCCAGGUGAAACAAUUUAGCAGUUCGAUAAUAGAAAAAGAUUUCGAAUUUUACGCAGAAGCGUACGUCGCUUUAAUUUUUCAGACAAUUGGACGUAAUAACUCGUUGAAUAUGAAAAAAUAAUUAUUAAUAAAAACAUUCAUACACAUCAAUAAAUUGAAUUUAUUUAUUUACAACACCUGUUCAUCCGUUGUAAAAAAGUAAGCAGAAAUUUACGUAAAACUGCACCUUAUAGAAGAACGUUCGAAGAACAUGCUGUAGAUACAGCAAAGCAAAAUCGCUCGAACACUCCUGAUGCAAUACAAUUGUUGGAUUGCGAAUACAGUACCUACCUACAGCUGAUGAAAUCAUAUGUUGGUAUAACUACGUUUUCAUCCAAUUCGCAAUUCCUCAGUAUGCUAUAUUAUGAACGCGAUUAUGUGAAUUUACAUAGGUACACCUCAUUAAUAGAGUUUGUUUUUUAUUAUUAAUGUGUUUUAUAGUGUUUCAUUCUAUGAUAGGUAUACUUACUGGUUUGAUAUGAUUCCAAAACACCUUUUUAGAGUUUUCAAACGAUCCAAACCAAAUUUUUUGCAAUCUACCAUCAAUGAAAUUAGAUAUUUAUCGAACCGGUCGAAUUCAACAGUAAGCCACUUAAAUGCAUCAACGAUUCCUGCUUCGCGUAAAGACUGCAUUCGCACUGAAAAGUGGUGCUAUACGAAAGCUGAAAAAUACGAAUGCGAAUACACCUGGAUAAUUCAAGAUUAUAGUGCGAAUGUUGCCAGGAUCUGUCGAGGACUGAGAUCAUCUGCGUUUUCAGCUGCGAAUGAUCCUUCCAAGUGGUCUAUAGAUGUCAGAAUCAAAGAUUUUUAUAACGAUCAACUUGAAAAUGACGAAAACUGGUUAUGUAUGAGCUUAUAUUUGGAAAGAGAAAGAAUCGACGAAUUCGAACCAAUUUCGGGAAACGUGACGGUCUCACUCAUCGACUCCAGUAAUCAAAAAGCAAAUACCGAUCAAGAGAACUUUUUAGUUGAGUUCCUACAUGGAGAUGAUAAUAACAUCAGCACGUUGAAAUUCAUUAAAUGUGAUAAUUUGAUUUCUAAGAAGGACGUAUUAUUACCGGAAGACGAGCUCAGGAUUCAUUGCAAACUUCAUUUUAAUCGGGAACUCGUCAAUUUUACGAGUACGAAUGAUGUUCCAAUCCAAACAGAUGAAUCUAAUAAUGUUACGCAUGAUUUAGAAAAAUUGCUCAACGAUAAAGAGAGUAGUGAUCUUAUGAUUAACGUUAAUGGAAAGGAUUAUCCGGCACAUAGAACUAUUCUGGCAGCUCGUAGUCCGGUAUUUAAAGCCAUGUUUAAAGAUGAUACGACGGAAACUCAACAAAAUCGCAUCGAAAUUAAAGAUAUCGAUGAGAAUAUUUUCGAAGAAGUAUUGCGGUAUAUUUACACAGGAAGAGUUGAGAAUUUGAAAGAUACUGCGUUGGAACUGCUACCGGUCGCUGAAAAAUUUAAUCUGGAGCACUUAAAGAAUAUGUGUGUAAGUGCAUUGAGUAUGCUACUGUCUGAAAAUACUGCUGUAAAAAUUCUUAUUCUUUCGGAUUUGAGUAAUGCGGAGGGCUUGAAAACUCGGGCGAUUGAAUAUAUAAAAGCGAAUUUAUUAGAAGUUAUGAGAUCAGAAGACUGGAAUGAUUUGAGCUCGAAUAAAGAUUUGAUGAAAUGUUUAUUAAAUUCAGAUUGAUGUAAUACCUACCUAUAUUUUUAUGAAUAAAAUUAUGUAGACAUUGAUACUUAUCCUAAGUUUGUAUUUUGCAUAAUUUAUGUUUACGCAUUCGAAUACCUACUACAUAUUAUAGUUAAUGUUGAUUUGUUAUUUUUAAUAAAUUUAAAAUAAGUAUAGGUAUGAUUAUAUUUCUCAAAAUUUG